AAUAAGUGCAGUUUUGCAUUAUUCACGUUCAACGUUUGACCGCUCGUUUUAUUUGAAAAUUUUUUAUGAUUAGUAUUUUUAUUGCUAUUAGAUGAUAAAACAUUAAUGGUACUGUGUGACUAAAUAUUUUUAAUUUUUUCACAAAUUUUUUAAAUAAGACGGGCGAUCAAACGUUGGGUACGGAUAUCUAUGGCUGCACUUAUU
rfam:Oryza nivara chromosome 4, whole genome shotgun sequence.